rnacentral:rRNA from 1 species
GAUCAUGGCUCAGGAUGAACGCUAGCUACAGGCUUAACACAUGCAAGUCGAGGGGCAGCAUGAGAUUAGCUUGCUAAUCUUGAUGGCGGCCGGCGCACGGGUGAGUAACGCGUAUCCAACCUUCCCUUAGUAGGGCAUAGCCCGGCGAAAGUCGGAUUAAUACCCUAUGUUAUUCGUAGAGGACAUCUGAAAUGAAUCAAAGGUUUACCGCUAAGGGAUGGGGAUGCGUCUGAUUAGGUAGUCGGCGGGGUAACGGCCCACCGAGCCUGCGAUCAGUAGGGGUUCUGAGAGGAAGGUCCCCCACAUUGGAACUGAGACACGGUCCAAACUCCUACGGGAGGCAGCAGUGAGGAAUAUUGGUCAAUGGGCGCGAGCCUGAACCAGCCAAGUAGCGUGCAAGGAUGACGGCCCUAUGGGUUGUAAACUGCUUUUAUGCGGGGAUAAAGUGCACCACGUGUGGUGUUUUGUAGGUACCGCAUGAAUAAGGACCGGCUAAUUCCGUGCCAGCAGCGGC